ensembl:lncRNA
GUGGACUCCUGUUUCUCAUUUUGUUUACCAAAGUUCAAUGUUUGAUCUGAGUUCCUUUUCCGCAUAGCCAUUGACUGUCAAUGUUAAAGAGACUGAUUCACGAUUGAGAAAGAAGAACUUUAGAUAUUCCCAGGGACCAAGAUAUCUACAUGAGAAGAACACGACUCUCAGGGAGCUGGAAGACAGAAGACUAAAAGACUCCAGGAGAUUAAGAAAUGUAAACCACAAUAGAAGUAAAUGCAGAUUCACACCGCAAAGCUCCUCUUCUACCCACCAUUCCUUGCUGACAGAAAGGAAGGAUUGGCAGGAACACCCACUUCUGAUGCCACUGUAAUGAUAUAAGCAAUUUAUAAUGGGGGACAGAAGUAGGAAGAUGGCUUUGGAAAUGGAAAGGGUAUAAAUUAGAGCAGCAGCCAAAAAAGGCAAUCUGGAAAAGAAAAUAGAUGCCAAAGGAGAGGAUCAGUAAUGCCCCCACGAAAAAGUUUAGAAAAGGCCCUGUUUUUUGUUUUGUUUUGGCAGCAUUGGGGGUAGAAAAAGGAAAAGCACAGUUUGAUCAAGUUGAUUGUGAGACAGCUAAGGAUCAGGGUGAUACAGGAAAUGAUAUAGGACCUCUAAAUAUGAUAAUAAGGGAAAUACAAUUUUUAAUCUGCUAGAUGUCUGAUCCGCCAAGUUCGUGUUCUCCAAAAUCAAAGAAUGAUUUUUUAAGGAACCACAGAGGUUAAGAGUAGAAAUUAUUUAUUGAGGAGAAAGAUACUACUCUUGAGAGGCAGGAGGGGACCCAAAAGUGGGUUGCCAUGAACCUCACUUCUCAGGGGAAGUUUUAUAGAGCACAACACGUGGAUACAAUGUGGGUUACAGCUAUGAUCCACCAAUAAGAUUAUAAGUAUAGUCGUUUAGGUAACAUUGAUCCAGUGGGGAAGCAAGUCAGGUAGCAGGUGUACGUGGAAGGAACAAAACUUUUCAGGAAGGGAUGAGUCUGAGGGUCUUGGUCACCCACCGAGGUGACUGAUGUCUGACUUCAUUAGACCAGGUGUUACCAUUUAUCUCAGGCCUGGACAUUUCCUCUUUAUCUUGAGGCCUGGCCUCUUACGGAUGCACCUCUGGUCACAGUUGUAAUGUGUUUUUACCUUUGUCCUGACUCUCAAGGACUCUCAGCCUAGCUCAGUUGUCUGUAAUAAGGAGACAGUCACAACUGAAGAUGUAGCAGACAUCUGCACUGAAAUGAGAGUUGAAGGCCUCAAUAAAUGAUUACGGUUUUUAAAAAAUGAAAAGAUCCACAGACAGAACUUCAGAAAAUGCCCACCUUUAGGUGGGAAGGUAGAAGAAACAGAAUAGGAGGAAGAAGAGAAGGACUGAAUCACACAGCAACCAGAAUAAAAGGCAGGAGGGACUUCCAAGGGGGAGAGCUAACAUGAGGUGUCCAGUAAUCCAAGCACAGUGGCUUAGGGUGCACCAUGAAGACAGCGUGGCCACCCUGGGUGGUAGGGCUGGGAGCCCCAGAGGGUGACAAGUCGGGGUGGGGGAGGAGAAAAAGGAGCAGGUCAAAGGUGUCUUUGCUUGUCGGUGAUCCAGAGAAAAGAGCAGAGAGCAGACUGGGAAAAGAACGAUUCCUGAGGGAGAAGAAAUAAUUAAUGAGGCCAAAUCUGGGUGCUGGAG